UCUCUCUCACACACACACACACACACUUAAUCAGCACUUCCAAGCUGACACCCUCAUAUGCCCCAGGUUCAGCACAACCCUAUCGCCACUUUCUUGUUACAAUUGUUCUGGUAGUAACCCACUUGAUGAGCAAACCCCACAGGAUUUUUGGGCACUGCAAGGAUCUUAAGCUUAGGCACGAGGAGCGUUGCUGCAAAGCAAAUGGGGAAGCCAAAAAAAAACCCCACCCAUGAUGGGAUGGAGGAAGAGAGAGAGGGAAGCAACCAUCUUAAUCAUGAAAGUUAUUUAUUGCCAGGUAAU